rnacentral:rRNA from 1 species
AUACGGAGGAUGCAAGCGUUAUCCGGAUUUAUUGGGUUUAAAGGGUGCGUAGGCGGUUUGCUAAGCGGGAGGUGAAAUGCCGGCGCUCAACGUCGGAAGUGCCUCCCGAACUGGUGGACUUGAAUGACUCUGCCGUGGGAGGAAUGUGUAGUGUAGCGGUGAAAUGCUUAGAGAUUACACAGAACACCGAUUGCGAAGGCAUCUCACGAAGGGUUGAUUGACGCUGAGGCACGAAAGCGUGGGGAUCAAACAGGAUUAGAUACCCUGGUAGUCCACGCAGUAAACGAUGAUGGCUAACCGGUGGGCUUAUCAGUUCAGUGGCCAAGCGAAAGCGAUAAGCCAUCCACCUGGGGAGUACGACCGCAAGGUUGAAACUCAAAUGAAUUGACGGGG